UACGUAGGGUGCGAGCGUUAAUCGGAUUUACUGGGCGUAAAGCGUGCGCAGGCGGCCCUUUAAGACAGGUGUGAAAUCCCUGGGCUCAACCUAGGAAUUGCGCUUGUGACUGGCGGGCUAGAGUAGGGUAGAGGGGGGUGGAAUUCCUGGUGUAGCAGUGAAAUGCGUAGAGAUCAGGAGGAACACCGAUGGCGAAGGCAGCCCCCUGGGCCUGUACUGACGCUCAUGCACGAAAGCGUGGGGAGCAAACAGG
rnacentral:rRNA from 1 species